rnacentral:lncRNA from 1 species
AAGAAAAUCCUGUACUAGGAAAUUAUGGAACAAGGAACAAAGUGUUCUCUGUCUGUGCUGUCCAGUGUGGCUGUCAUUACCCACCUGUGGUUCCUGAGCACUGGAAUGUAGUUGCUGUGAAGUUUGAAGUGCUUGGUUUCCGUAGCACUUUGGCUGCUGUGUGGACAGUGCAGCUCUGGAGUGUUUGUCAGGGUUAGGAUGUGACUUUCGAGAUUGUGCUUUGUGAGAAUUAGAGCAGCUGGGAGGGAGUCAAGAGACCUAUGAGUGGGCCUGCCACACAGUGUAUAUCUAACCAGAAGUCCCCCCACCCCUUUUUUUUUUCGGGGCUGGGGACCGAACCCAGGGCCUUGUGCUUGCUAGGCAAGCGCUCUACCACUGAGCCAAAUCCCCAACCCCCAGAAGUCCCCUUUUAAUGAACGCUCUGAGACAGAAAUGAGAUGACGUAAGAGGGUGGUACGUAAGGAGCUGGUGGAAUUACAGGGACUUGUUCAAGUACUUUGUAUCUGAUGGUGUUAACUUUCAGGGCAUUUAGCAGAGAAUAGGCUCCAGGGUAGGCUCCAUUCUUUAACUAGAACUUUGUUACCUGCAAGCUUCUCAGAGGAAGACUAUGGUCUGUUUGUUCAUGUUAGCAGAAUCUUUUGACAUAUGUGCCUAUGUGUUUUCUCUUAGCUUGAAGGAUGCCAAUGAUGUGCCGAUCCAGUGUGAGAUCUCUCCCCUCAUCUCUUACGCUGGAGAAGGACUUGAAGGCUAUGUGGCAGAUAAAGACUUCCAUGCACCCUUAAUCAUCGAUGAGAACGGAGUUCAUGAGCUGGUGAAAAAUGGCAUAUGAUUCCUUAAGGGCCACCUAGGAAGCCAUGGUUUCUGAUAGAUCAACUGUGCACCUGCAGGACCUCUCCUGGACCGCUGAC